CGGGCUGCAGCAGCCUGCGGUAGCCUAGAAUGUUCGCUCGCCGCGGGCUUGUGCCUGAGAAAGCCCAGUGCAGCUCUGGAGCUUAGCAUAGAUAAAAGGAAGGUUGGUGCCCACCCUGGGCAUGAGCUGCAGGGCUCCACAUGGACAGCUGGGCCUCCAGCGUGUGGGCGGCCCGCUGGGCCAGGCGUCCUGCCCGGCCCCUGCCCGCGUCCUUGCCCCGCGCACGCGGCCCCCCCGGCCCCGGCAGGCCAGGCAGCCGCGUCCUAGGUGUGUGCCCCAGUCGCCAAGGCCCAGUGGACCGCUGUGGGCACCAGAGGCUCCUUUGGGACGACGCUUCCUUUGCAGAUAUCUGGCGCUUUUGCGAACGAAUUGUCAAGCCCUGAGAGUGGGAAGAACCUGACACCGGCUGAGCCAGAUCAUGGAGCAAAUCAACGGUGGUCUCCAGUUCCUGCACCGAGGGGCAAGAAAGCACCGAGGAACAUAACGCAGUGGAGAUCGUUUUAUUUUCCGGGACUUCAGGGAGUUCAACAAAAUGUACUGGAACUAUUGGGGGCUUUGUCGGCACUCAGCUGAAAGAAUACAUCCCAACAAUCCUCCUUAUUCAUUGUGGGACCUCCAGCAAGUCACUUCACCUCUCUGAGUCUCGGUUGUCUCAUGUGUGAAAGGGGAAGACAAUGCCCAACGCAGUAUAUUACUGUACAGAUAAAACAAGAGCUGCAUGACAAGUGCUGAUACCCACUAGUGCUCAAUAAGUAUCUAUUGGACGAUGAAGAAGUGAACAGAGACUUGCAGUUAAAUGGGUUGGAAUUGCUUUGUAUGUUUACUUUUUUUUUCCCCCUAACCAUACUAAAAUGGAAAUAAAGAGAUAAAUAGAAGUGUAAACUUACAGGGACGCAAAGAACAAAAGGAGCAUAACCUUGAUCUGUGACCCCUAGGCACAGGAAACAAAAAAGAAACCAUCCGUGUGACACCUGCCUAUCAGUUAGUCCUUGCGUCAUGAACCACUCCAAACAUGAUGGGCGAGAACCACAAUCAUUUGCUCACAAUUGUGCGAGUCGGUGGUUUGGGCUGGGCUCAGGUGGGUGCUUCUGCUGUUAUUAACCGAAUUCACCCCUUUGCAAUCAGGGGGGAGCUGGGGUGACUGUGGGCUGGGCUCUGCUGGGUGGGUUGGCUUCUCCCUCCCUGUGGUCUCUCACUCUGCAGGCGGGGGCUUUUGCUUCUUCACCCAGUGGUCUCAGAGUUCCUAGCAGCCAGCGGCUACCCCCCAGUGCACAAGCUUCUACUUGACUGGCAUUUGCUAAUGUCCCAUUGGCACGUCACAGAUUCAGCGUGGGAGAGAGUUGCAGAGAGUCAGGAUGCCUUGAUUCAUGAGGGAACAUUCUGCAACAUUAUUGCACAACUUCUGACGCACAUUCACCAUCUUUCUCAGUUAAGAGGAUCAUGUCUCCGUUGCCUAUUGAUAGAGAUGCUCUCCAGUGGUACUGACAGAGUCAGAGGUAGAUCGAAAGGGAUAAAAGCAGGUGCACAAGUGAGAUUGACUUAGCCAACCAGAGAAAAUGGAAACCAAAGUCUGAAGUGGGGGGACACCAAGAGGGAAACUGGGGAAUGCUACGGAUCCCCAGAGAGUCAGAAAUUGAAGGCACCAAGUACAUCUGAAAUUCAGAGCACAGGUGGGGCUGCAAACAGAGGAAUGGGCUGAAGGCCUGCGUAAGAGGCACCGUCCUGCCCCUCUGCAUCUUUGGUCCUGCCCCGCACAAUCCAGUGAAUACCCGUCCAUAGCCCAGAGUUAAGAUGGACCCUGGGCAAGGUGAAACCAGGAUUCUUAUCUCGGAAGACCAGGCACUGCUGAAGGUGGGGGCACCGUACUAAAAACUGGGGGGUUACUCAGCUAACAGUAAAAUAACAAUAAUAAGAAAAUUAGAUGAUGCCACAAGUAGAUUAAUAGAAAUUCCAGAGAGAGAAAAAAUAAAUGAAGAAGUUAUCAAAGACUUCAAUACAUUUCAGUACAAUUUCACAGUUUAAAGAAAUGAGUUUCCGAAUUGAAAAGGCCCACUGAGCACUUUGCAGAAUUAAUUUUAAAAGAAAAAAGAAUGUAAAGAAAGAGAAAAAGCAGAACUAAGGGAAAUCACUGUGAAAGUUCAGAAUAGCAGGAAUAAAGAGAAAAUCCUAACAGCUUCCACAGAGAAAAGAUCAAACAAACAAUCAACAAUGAAAACGAGACCCACAGAGGCUCAGAAAUCCAGAUGGCAUCAGACUUAGUGGCCACAGCAGGUGCUAGAAGAUAGUGGAGACGUGCUUUCAAAAUACUGAGGGCAAAUGAUUUUCAUACUAGAAUGCCAUACUCAGCCAAGCUGUGAUUGUGGUGGUAGGCUAACGAUAUUUUAGACAUUAAAGACCUGAAGAAAUUUACCUUACACGCAUCCUUUCUUAGGAAGUUACAAGAAAUAAGAAGUCACAGAAAACAGGACCUGCCUGUUACUAGCAUAUUGUCUCUUGUCUCAGAACUGUAAACCCACACUUGUAAUACUCUGCUACGUGAUGCCGGACUGAGAUUCUGAAAAUGCCUUCCGCCUCGGCCAGCUGGCUCCCUGUUAACUUGUGCUCAUAGGGAAGGGGUUUGCCAGAGGGGGACGGGAGGGCUGGAGAAGGACGGAGGGACGUGCUCCCUCCUGUUUGCUUCCUAUCUGCAAUUCCUGAGAGGAUCACGCUGGCCACCUCUUCACCUUGGCAGAAAAACCUUCCUGAAGCAACAGCUGAAGCCAGUUUGCAGUUUUCCCAACACUUGCAGAAUCUACUUUACUGUGCCCUAGAUCUAGAUCGCAAUACCAGCACCAGCACCAGCCCAACCACCGCCUUCACUGCCCCACCUCCGCCUUCCCACACAUGCAGUUAAAAUUACUGGUAUGGCUUUUGGCUUUUGGCUCGGGGAGGCAAAGGUGCAACUUUCUUCGGUCGUCCCGAAUCCAGGUUCAUCCGACACCAGCCACCUCCGCCAUGCCGCCUAAGUUCGACCCCAACGAGAUCAAAGUCAUGUACCUGAGGUGCACCGGUGGCGAAGUCGGUGCCACGUCUGCCCUGGCCCCGAAGAUCGGCCUGCUGGGUCUGUCUCCAAAAAAGGUUGAUGAUGACAUCGCCAAGGCAACCGGUGAUUAGAAGGGUCUAAGGAUUACGGUGAAACUGACCAUUCAGAACAGGCCCAGAUUGAAGUGGUACCUUCUGCCUCUGCCCUGAUUAUCAAAGCCCUCAAGGAACCACCAAGAGACAGACAGAAGCAGAAAAACAUUAAGCGCAGUGGAAAUAAUCACUUUUGAUGAGAUUGUCAAUAUUGCCCGACAGAUGCGACACUGAUCUUUAGCCAGAGAACUCUCUGGAACCAUUAAAGAAAUCCUGGGGACUGCCCAGUCUGUGGGCGGCAAUGUUGAUGACCGCCACCUUCAUGACAUCAUAGAUGACGUCAACAGUGGUGCAGUGGAAUGCUCCGCUAAUUAACUACAAAGGAAAAUGUUUCAAUAAAGGAUCAUUUGACAACCAAAAAAAAAAAAUUACUGGUAUGGUUUCUGAAACCUGAUAGUAGUGAGAGGAGACCCCCGCCCAAUGGGCUAUGCAUCAGACUGGUGGGUUGCUUGAAUGGAUAGCCCCAGUUGGUGACCUUCCUGUAUCUAUGCUCUUUGCAGACUGACUUCCAGAAUCUUUCAUUGAAACAUGGAAUCUGUUUCUCUACACCUUGAUUCUGGACUGCCACUGUGACUUGUUUGGCUGGGAGAAUGAGAUGGAAGUCAUGGUGAACCAGUUCCAAUCCUAGCCUCAGGAGGUCUUGGGUAUUUCCUUUCUCUCUCUUUGGAGUCCUCGUCUCCACCAUGCAAUCUCAGCUAACCCGCUGGAGGAAAAGAAAUCAUGGGGCAUGCCAUCCUGCAGCCAGCUGCCUCACCCCUACCCUCCCAAGCAGGGCUGUAGUUAACUGCAGAUGCCUGAGGGAGUCCAGCUGAGCCUGGGAGGACCAGCGCGAAGAGCUCAGCCCAAACUCCAGCCUGCGGGACUGUGAGCUGAAUUAAGUGAUUGUUGUUUUUAACCACUACAUUUUAGAGUGAUUUGUUGUGCAGAAAUAGCUAAUUGAUUCACAGGCUUAGUUAGAGAGCAACCAGUCCAUAUUGGAGCAGGAGGCCUCAAGGCUCACCAGUGGAUGUAUUCAGGAAACAAAAUGAUACCCUUAGAUAAGCUAAUGUGUUUGAGUAUGUUGAAAGAAUAUUUACAUUUCUAGGGGAGAGUUAAGUAAUGAUUUGCUUUUAGAUUCAUUCAUAGAAAGCUAGGCAAUUUAUAAUCAAAAAAAUUGUACAAGAAAGACAAUGCAUCAUAAAGUUUGACAGGUCUUACCUAUGAAUAAUAUUCACACAACCAUAAUAAAGCAAACACUGAAUAUUGUUUUAACUUUAAAUUAUGGUAUAAUGAUAUUGGGAGGCCGGGGCUGGGUGUGACUCAUGCACAUGUGUGAUGGAAGAUGAAGAGGUAAAAUGGGGAGAAAUCUAAAUCCUAUCUUCCAUGAUUAGAAGUCAAGAAAUAGCAGAAUGAAUAUGUUGGAAGCAUAGAGAAAUUUCAGAAGAAACAACUAAAUUAAGUAGAUGGCUCUGUGAAGUCACAGCGUUAGUGGGGUGAGUUGGGACUUAUUGUAAGCUUUGUGGUACUAUUUGAUAUGACUGUGUGAGUGUAAUAAAUAAAUAUAUGUGUG